GACUACAGGGGUAUCUAAUCCUGUUCGCUCCCCACGCUUUCGUGCAUCAGCGUCAGUAACAGUUUAGUAAGCUGCCUUCGCAAUCGGUGUUCUGUGUAAUAUCUAAGCAUUUCACCGCUACACUACACAUUCCGCCUACCUCAACUGUACUCAAGCUCUUCAGUAUCAAUGGCAAUUCUACCGUUAAGCGGCAGGAUUUCACCACUGACUUAAAGAGCCGCCUACGCACCCUUUAAACCCAAUGAAUCCGGAUAACGCUUGCAUCCUCCGUAUUACCGCGGCUGCUGGCACGGAGUUAGCCGAUGCUUAUUCAUACACUACCGUCGGGCUCGAACACGUUCGAGUUUUUCUUGGUGUAUAAAAGAAGUUUACAAUCCAUAGGACCUUCAUCCUUCACGCGGGAUGGCUGGUUCAGGCUUGCGCCCAUUGACCAAUAUUCCUCACUGCAGCCACCCGUAGG
rnacentral:rRNA from 1 species